AGUGAACGCUGGCGGUAGGCCUAACACAUGCAAGUCGAACGGCAGCACAGUAAGAGCUUGCUCUUACGGGUGGCGAGUGGCGGACGGGUGGGGAAUACAUCGGAAUCUACUUUUUCGUGGGGGAUAACGUAGGUAAACUUACGCUAAUAUCGCAUACCACCUUCUUGUUAAAGCAGGGGUUCUUCGUACCUUGCUCGAUUUGAUUCGCCGAGGUCGGAUUAGCUAGUUGGCGGGGUAAAGGCCCACCAAGGCGACGAUCCGUAGCUGGUCUGAUAGGAUGAUCAGACACACGGGAACUGGGAAACGGUCCAGACUCCUACGGGAGGCAGCAGUGGGGAAUAUUGGACAAUGGGCGAAAGCCUGAUGCAGCCAGACCGCGUGGGUGAAGAAGGCCUUCGGGUUGUAAAGCCCUUUUGUUGGGAAAGAAAAGCAGCAGGUUAAUACCCCGAUGUUGUGACGGUACCCAAAGAAUAAGCACCGGCUAACUUCGUG
rnacentral:rRNA from 1 species